UGAAACCGUUCGGGGGUAAACGGACAGAGCCCGUGAAUCUGGACGGCGGAAUUCAAAGUUAUCGGCGUGCGGAGGAGGGCCUUUGCCGGCCGCCGCGCGUCCGGUGACUUGAUGUUUCCGUCGUCGUGCGGACGUCGCGACCUGUUCGGUGUCGGUCCUCGCCUACGGAGGAGUCGCGUUCGAGUUCUUCGUGUCGGAGGUGGCGCGCGUCGUUCUCUGGACGGUGUGCGUUCCGCCGACGCGGCGAAGACGCGUCCUUCUGACCGGCUCGCCGGACAGUAUGGUGUGGAGAGGUGUCCGACGUCCGUUACUUCGUGUACGCGGCGUCGGCGCCAGUCUGCGACGAUUUCAUCGGGCCU
rnacentral:rRNA from 1 species